AUUGAACGCUGGCGGCAGGCCUAACACAUGCAAGUCGAACGAGCGGCGGACGGGUGAGUAAUGUCUGGGAAACUGCCUGAUGGAGGGGGAUAACUACUGGAAACGGUAGCUAAUACCGCAUACCAUCAGAUGUGCCCAGAUUGGAUUAGCUAGUUGGUGGGGUAACGGCUCACCAAGGCGACGAUCCCUAGCUGGUCUGAGAGGAUGACAAGCCACACGGGAACUGAGACACGGUCCAGAAUCCUACGGGAGGCAGCAGUGGGGAAUAUUGCACAAUGGGGGCAAGCCUGAUGCAGCCAUGCCGCGUGUAUGAAGAAGGCCUGAGGGUUGUAAAGUACUUUAAGCGGGGAGGCGUUACCCGCAGAAGAAGCACCGGCUAACUCCGUGCCAGCAGCCGCGGUAAUUC
rnacentral:rRNA from 1 species